UACGGGGGGGGCUAGCGUUGUUCGGAAUUACUGGGCGUAAAGGGCGCGUAGGCGGCCUACUAAGUCGGACGUGAAAUCCCUCGGCUCAACCGGGGAACUGCGUCCGAUACUGGUGGGCUCGAAUCCGGGAGAGGGAUGUGGAAUUCCAGGUGUAGCGGUGAAAUGCGUAGAUAUCUGGAGGAACACCGGUGGCGAAGGCGGCAUCCUGGACCAAUAUUGACGCUGAGGAGCGAAAGCCAGGGGAGCAAACGGG
rnacentral:rRNA from 1 species